rnacentral:rRNA from 1 species
GACGAACGCUGGCGGCGUGCUUAACACAUGCAAGUCGAACGGAAGGGCCCUGCUUUUGUGGGGUGCUCGAGGGGCGAACGGGUGAGUAACACGUGAGUAACCUGCCCUUGACUUUGGGAUAACUUCAGGAAACUGGGGCUAAUACCGGAUAGGAGCUCCUGCUGCAUGGUGGGGGUUGGAAAGUUUCGGCGGUUGGGGAUGGACUCGCGGCUUAUCAGCUUGUUGGUGGGGUAGUGGCUUACCAAGGCUUGGACGGGUAGCCGGCCUGAGAGGGUGACCGGCCACAUUGGGACUGAGAUACGGCCCAGACUCCUACGGGAGGCAGCAGUGGGGAAUAUUGCACAAUGGGCGGAAGCCUGAUGCAGCAACGCCGCGUGCGGGAUGACGGCCUUCGGGUUGUAAACCGCUUUCGCCUGUGACGAAGCGUGAGUGACGGUAAUGGGUAAAGAAGCACCGGCUAACUACGUG